rnacentral:tRNA from 1 species
UUAAAGAAAUAUCAUUAAAGAAAGCUUCUAACUUUUUCAAAAGCAUUAACCUGUUUAU